rnacentral:sRNA from 1 species
GCGAUAGUGACUUGCAUGUUCUUGUCUUGUUCGUACGUAUCACUGUGUCCCAAUAACAUAACCUUAUUAUGAUGCGUCAAAUAAUUGUUCGAGAUCGUUAUAGCCGUUGAUCCAC